GGGCCCGCACAAGCGGUGGAGCAUGUGGUUUAAUUCGAUGCAACGCGAAAAACCUUACCAGGCCUUGAUAUCCUGAGAACUUUCUAGAGAUAGAUUGGUGCCUUCGGGAACUCAGUGACAGGUGUUGCAUGGCUGUCGUCAGCUCGUGUCGUGAGAUGUUGGGUUAAGUCCCGUAACGAGCGCAACCCUUAUCCUUAUUUGCCAGCACAUAAUGGUGGGAACUCUAAGGAGACUGCCGGUGACAAACCGGAGGAAGGAGAGGAUGAUGUCAAGUCAUCAUGGCCCUUACGGCCUGGGCUACACACGUGCUACAAUGGGCAGUACAGAGGCCGCGAACCCGCGAGGGGAGCUAAUCCCAUAAACCGUGGCUCAGUUCAGAUCGUAGGCUGCAACUCGCCUACGUGAAGGCGGAAUC
rnacentral:rRNA from 1 species